rfam:Brassica napus, WGS project CCCW01000000 data, contig: 8460
ACCGAUCUAAACAAGGCUCUUAACCUUGUGGUCGUGGGUUCGAGUCCCACGGUGGGCA